CCUACGGGAGGCAGCAGUGGGGAAUUUUGGACAAUGGGCGCAAGCCUGAUCCAGCAAUGCCGCGUGAGUGAAGAAGGCCUUCGGGUUGUAAAGCUCUUUUGUCAGGGAAGAAACGGCCGAGGCUAAUACCUUUGGCUAAUGACGGUACCUGAAGAAUAAGCACCGGCUAACUACGUGCCAGCAGCCGCGGUAAUACGUAGGGUGCAAGCGUUAAUCGGAAUUACUGGGCGUAAAGCGUGCGCAGGCGGUUUUGUAAGUCUGACGUGAAAUCCCCGGGCUCAACCUGGGAAUUGCGUUGGAGACUGCAGGGCUGGAGUCUGGCAGAGGGGGGUAGAAUUCCACGUGUAGCAGUGAAAUGCGUAGAGAUGUGGAGGAACACCGAUGGCGAAGGCAGCCCCCUGGGUCAAGACUGACGCUCAUGCACGAAAGCGUGGGGAGCAAACAGGAUUAGAUACCCUGGUAGUCCACGCCCUAAACGAUGUCUACUAGUUGUCGGGUCUUAAUUGACUUGGUAACGCAGCUAACGCGUGAAGUAGACCGCCUGGGGAGUACGGUCGCAAGAUUAAAACNCAAAGGAAUUGACGGCUGAGACGNGACGAGACGACGACGAGGGAGGAGG
rnacentral:rRNA from 1 species